rnacentral:misc_RNA from 1 species
GAUGAAGAACGUAGCGAAAUGCGAUACGUAAUGUGAAUUGCAGAAUUCAGUGAAUCAUCGAAUCUUUGAACGCAUAUUGCGCUCUCUGGUAUUCCGGAGAGCAUGCUUGUUUGAGUAUCAGUAAACACCUCAACUUCCAUAUCUUUUUUGAAAUGGGAGUUGGACUUGAGUGAUCCCAACGCUUUUCCUCACCGAAAAGUGGCGGGUUACUUGAAAUGCAGGUGCAGCUGUACUUUUCUCUGAGCUAUAAGCAUAUCUAUUUAGUCUGCCUAAAAAACAGAUUAUUACCUUUGCUGCAGCUAACAUAAAGGAGAUUAGUUCUUGUGCUGACUGAUGCAGGAUUCACAAAGACGGCUUCGGCCGACUUUGUAAACUCGAUCUCAAAUCAAGUAAGACUACCCGCUGAACUUAAGCAUAUCAAUAAGCGGAGGA